AGGCCAUGAUGAGGUCAACGUUGAAGCAAUUCUUUGUAUCAUUCCCAGACUUCAUACAAUGAUUUUGAAUCUUGUUGCAAGAAUGAUGUGAUGCCAUUUCACAAUUU
rnacentral:snoRNA from 1 species